GUCACAACGUUGAAGCGGUCACAGUUUAAAUGACCAACCGAAAGACGAAGCACGUGUUGCACAGCAAAAGAAAAAUAACUUAAAAUAAAAAUGAAUUUCUCAAGAAAAUAUUUACAAAUUAUUAAAAACUUGAUAGACAAUUAUCUGUUUAAUGGCUGAAAGUAAGAAAAUAUCUGAAAAAUGUAAGAAUCUGGAAUUAGAAAUCCAUUUCUAAAACAGCGUGUCAGCAUUAACCCAAAGAGUCUCAUUUGGAGACUUCUUAGAACAACUGUAAUCCAUUCAAAUGGUGAAAUUGCUGGUCUGUAACCCAAAAUAGGUUAUGAUUGUAACACGGGUAAAAGAUGGUGGUGUUCAUACUUUGGAACAACCAGAAGGCGGACCUCUUGUCGAUUUUGAAAAACUGGAUAACUAGUGGAAGAACCGUAUAAGGAAAUCCAAAAAUGUGUCUUAUGUUCGGAAAGAAUUCCUAAUCAGUAGGUAAGAAAUUAUCUUCAUUAAGGUUUUAAAUUUCAAUCUGAUGAAAUCCUAAGAUAGGGACAUCUGAUGUCUAUGACUGAUUUGUCUUGAUAGUAGAACUGAUCUUUCAAAUUUUAUUUUGUAAACAUUUCUUUAAAAAAAAUUGUUUAUUCUUAUCCAGAUUUUUUUUG